rnacentral:lncRNA from 1 species
CUCCAAUGGUAGACGCUACAACGAUGGGUGUCGUCAAGAAAGGUACGAUUAAAGGAAUCAGCUAGGAAUUAGACGAUCACCAUUAGUAUAGGUGAGUUGUUUAAUAGUUAUUGCAUUGGGAUAAAUGCAUGUUUUGGAUUAAUUCAUAAUCAGGAAUAGCUGGAAAGGAAAGAAACGUGUUGCUACGUGAACCCGGAAAGGCCGGGACGAAUUUCAAAAAAAAAUCUAGAGACGAUCGUUCUGAGUGUGCCACCUACACAUUAAAACGUGUACACAAGCACAGUAUUCCCUAUCUAUGUAAUGUGUUUUUAUAAUUAUGUGAUAUAGAGCAAAAAAAGGUAGCAGUUUUUUGUGUUGUGUUGUUAAGCAUUUCCAGGGGAGAUAAUGUUAUUUUUCACGGUGUGUUUGAUAGGUUUGUUACAUUGUAUUCUAAUAUGACGUGCUUCUUUAGCUUUGUAGACAACACUGUGAUAAAAUUCUCGAUAAAAUAUAUUUAGCGCAGACUCAGAGAUAUACAUAAUAAUGGCUGUUACAAUAUACUUCCAGCGUAAAUCUACAUGUAUUGGAACCUAUUUGCAGACCCUUUGCCGAUUUUAUUGUUUUAAAAAGUGCAAUUAAAAAAGACAAAAUAACUUUUAUUCUUAUUCGUAUGCAUAAUAAAAAGAAGUAAUGCACAAGAGCUCGGAGAAAUCAACAAAAUAAAAAUUAAAUAAUAUUCCGCGAAAGUCUAUUAAUCUUUUUGGCGCAUUUAAGUCAUUUCAAAACAUGACGUCAUACAAAUGAAACCGCUAAAGUUGAAAGUUUUAUGUUACGUAAACCAUCGGAAUUCGUAUGAUAUUGUAUUAAAACUGAUUUUGGAGGUAGGUUUUGUUUUGUUUUCUAUUCUAUUGCAUUAUUCGCAUAUUUACUCAUUUCAGCAAGUCAAAAUGGCGGCUCCUUAGUUACAAAAUGUCAACUUUGGAUUUGACGGAAGCUUACGAGAAAAACAUGUAAAUUAAAAAUGGCAAAUGUUGGGUUUGAGAAUUUAAAGAAUUAAAAAGUGUUUUCUAGUAGUUGUUCACGAAAUAACCUACGCAAGCUACAUAUUUAUAAAAAUAUUUAACAGGGAGUAAAAAAGAACAGCCACACACACAGCAUACCUACCCUCGCUUCAGUUUUUAAAUGACCGUAUUUUUCCUAUUAGAAUCGAAAUAAUUCAUGGAAGCCAUAGAUUGUUGGAAAUUUACGCAUGGCCUGGGCCGUGAUAUUCGUUAAUUUUAUCCCUCGCUAACGCUCAGGAUAAAAUUCGAAUAUCACGGCCCAGGCCAUGUGUAAAUUUCCAACAAUCUAUGGCUUCCAUGAAUUAUUUCUUAAACAUUAUAUAAUACACACUCAUAAAGUGGAUUAAAAUAGCCUCUCACACUCAAUUAACUGAAUUUCAAUUAUUCUAUUUACUGUAGUGCUAUUAUAUAAGAAUUCGGAGGUUCAUAUCACUAAUAUUCAACGUUUUUAUAUCGGAUUUUUUUUACUAUUGUUAUUGAACGGUUCAUAGUAAAAAUUUUAAAAAAAUCCGAUAAAACCGUUGAAUGUAAAUGACAUGAACCUCAGAAGUCUUAUAUAUUGUCCUUUAAUACACCUUAUCGCUAAUCCCGGCUGACCCGGCCGCUUGAACUUUUGACGUCAACAACAAUCACUUUUCCAUUGUGGCGUCAUAUAUUUCGUUUUAUGACGUCAAAAUUUUACGGGAACCUGUGGAAUAUCCAGUAAUGGCGGACAAAUAGCGAUCGAGUGUAUAUAAGACCGGGGGUUCAUAUCAUUUACAUUCCACAUUUUUUAUCGAAUUUUUGUUUACUUUCCAUGUUGAACGGUUCAACGGUUCAACAUUGGUAGUUAAAAAAAAAUCCGAUAAAAAUUAAUGGUUCAACAUUGAUAGUAAAAAAAAAUCCGAUAAACAUGUUGAAUGUAAAUGAUAUGAAACUCUGAAGCCUUACAUUAUUGGACUAUCGUUUAUUAGUUCUUUAUCCUAACUAAAUGUUUUUUUUGUGGUGUAUAUUACAAAACAAAGGGGGGGGGUCUUUUAAAAACACCAAAAUACCUUAACAAUCCUACAAUAUCUGUUUACAGAAUGAGAGAGAUAUUUCGUAUUCUAAACUUAUAUUUUUCUCACAUGUUUGUUAGAUAUGUUGAAAAUACAGACAAAUGUUUAGUACGUAUACCCAUCCCCUCUUUUUCAAUUCAUUAGUUCAAGAUACAGCUCUGAAGAAUAUGCAAUAACCUAACAUUGAUAAUUUAGCUAACAAUAAAUUCAGUACAUUUUUCUAACAAGUGAAGACCAAUUAAAACAUUUGAUAUGAUUUGAAAACAUGGCCAAUUAAGUAGGAUCUUGUGGUUUCGUAGACAUAAAUGAUAAUUCAACAUUUUCGAUUCUUUAUUUCAUUCUAGUAUAUUUAAUAACAUGUUUAUAUUUUGUGACGCAUCUGAUGUAUAAAUCCAGUGCCAGAUCCGGGAAAGAGCUCUUAGUUCCGAUCCGUUUGUACGGGGAACAUGUGGUUGCAACCCCCUCUUUAAUUGCCUGUUCGAUUUUUUGUUUGCAGUGUCGAAAAGGGAGAAAGACAGCAGUUUUAUCAAGAAGUUAUGUGAAAGUUCUGCUAUACAUCUGACAGUCAGGAAUUAUUCUGAAGUACACAUGUCGACCAGAGGCAUGGAACAGAGAGGAGAGGUUUUAAAGUACCAGAUGCUUAUCUGAGAUUCCAAUUUGAACUAAAGAAAGCAAUAUAUAAAGAUAUGUUGGAGAAAUAAUCUAUAUGAAUAAAGUUAUGCCAC